rnacentral:rRNA from 1 species
CCUACGGGAGGCAGCAGUGGGGAAUAUUGCACAAUGGGCGAAAGCCUGAUGCAGCAACGCCGCGUGAGGGAUGGAGGCCUUCGGGUUGUGAACCUCUUUCGCCAGUGAAGCAGGCCCGCCCCUUGUGUGGGUGGGUUGACGGUAGCUGGAUAAGAAGCGCCGGCUAACUACGUGCCAGCAGCCGCGGUAAUACGUAGGGCGCGAGCGUUGUCCGGAAUUAUUGGGCGUAAAGGGCUUGUAGGCGGCUGGUCGCGUCUGCCGUGAAAUCCCCUGGCUUAACUGGGGGCGUGCGGUGGGUACGGGCCGGCUUGAGUGCGGUAGGGGAGACUGGAAUUCCUGGUGUAGCGGUGGAAUGCGCAGAUAUCAGGAGGAACACCGGUGGCGAAGGCGGGUCUCUGGGCCGUUACUGACGCUGAGGAGCGAAAGCGUGGGGAGCGAACAGGAUUAGAUACCCUGGUAGUC